rnacentral:rRNA from 1 species
AGAUUGAACGCUAGCGGGAUGCUUUACACAUGCAAGUCGAACGGCAGCGCGGACUUCGGUCUGGCGGCGAGUGGCGAACGGGUGAGUAAUAUAUCGGAACGUGCCCAGUAGCGGGGGAUAACUACGCGAAAGCGUGGCUAAUACCGCAUACGCCCUACGGGGGAAAGGGGGGAUCGCAAGACCUCUCACUAUUGGAGCGGCCGAUAUCAGAUUAGCUAGUUGGUGAGGUAAAGGCUCACCAAAGGCGACGAUCUGUAGCUGGUUUGAGAGGACGACCAGCCACACUGGGACUGAGACACGGCCCAGACUCCUACGGGAGCAGCAGUGGGAAUUUUGGACAAGUGGGGAAACCUG